GACGAACGCUGGCGGCGUGCUUAACACAUGCAAGUCGAACGGAAAGGCCCUGCUUUUGUGGGGUGCUCGAGUGGCGAACGGGUGAGUAACACGUGAGUAACCUGCCCUUGACUUUGGGAUAACUUCAGGAAACUGGGGCUAAUACCGGAUAGGAGCUCCUGCUGCAUGGUGGGGGUUGGAAAGUUUCGGCGGUUGGGGAUGGACUCGCGGCUUAUCAGCUUGUUGGUGGGGUAGUGGCUUACCAAGGCUUUGACGGGUAGCCGGCCUGAGAGGGUGACCGGCCACAUUGGGACUGGGAUACGGCCCAGACUGCAACGGGAGGAAGCAGUGGGGAAUAUUGCACAAUGGGCGGAGGCCGGAUGCAGCAACGCCGCGUGCGGAAUGACGGCCUUCGGGUUGUAAACCGCUUUCGCCUGUGACGAAGCGUGAGUGACGGUAAUGGGUAAAGAAGCACCGGCAAACUACGU
rnacentral:rRNA from 1 species